GAUGAACGCUGGCGGCGUGCCUAAUACAUGCAAGUCGAGCGAACAGACGAGGAGCUUGCUCCUCUGACGUUAGCGGCGGACGGGUGAGUAACACGUGGAUAACCUACCUAUAAGACUGGGAUAACUUCGGGAAACCGGAGCUAAUACCGGAUAAUAUAUUGAACCGCAUGGUUCAAUAGUGAAAGACGGUUUUGCUGUCACUUAUAGAUGGAUCCGCGCCGCAUUAGCUAGUUGGUAAGGUAACGGCUUACCAAGGCGACGAUGCGUAGCCGACCUGAGAGGGUGAUCGGCCACACUGGAACUGAGACGCGGUCCAGACUCCUACGGGAGGCAGCAGUAGGGAAUCUUCGGCAAUGGGCGAAAGCCUGACGGAGCAACGCCGCGUGAGUGAUGAAGGUCUUCGGAUCGUAAAACUCUGUUAUUAGGGAAGAACAAAUGUGGAAGUAACUAUGCACGUCUUGACGGUACCUAAUCAGAAAGCCACGGCUAACUACGUG
rnacentral:rRNA from 1 species